UACGUAGGGUGCGAGCGUUGUCCGGAAUUAUUGGGCGUAAAGAGCUCGUAGGCGGUCUGUCGCGUCGGUCGUGAAAACUUGGGGCUUAACCCUGAGCUUGCGGUCGAUACGGGCAUGACUGGAGUUCGGCAGGGGAGACUGGAAUUCCUGGUGUAGCGGUGAAAUGCGCAGAUAUCAGGAGGAACACCAGUGGCGAAGGCGGCUUACUGGUCCGGUUCUGACGCUGAGGCGCGAAAGCGUGGGGAGCAAACAGG
rnacentral:rRNA from 1 species